rnacentral:rRNA from 1 species
CUGGCUCAGGAUGAACGCUGGCGGCGUGCUUAACACAUGCAAGUCGAACGAAGCAAUUCUUACGAUCCCUUCGGGGUGACGAGAUAUUGACUGAGUGGCGGACGGGUGAGUAACGCGUGGGUAACCUACCUGUACAGGGGGACAACAGUUGGAAACGACUGCUAAUACCGCAUAAGCGCACAGUACCGCAUGGUGCAGUGUGAAAAGUAUUUUCGGUACAAGAUGGACCCGCGUCUGAUUAGCUAGUUGGUGAGGUAACGGCUCACCAAGGCGACGAUCAGUAGCCGACCUGAGAGGGUGACCGGCCACAUUGGGACUGAGACACGGCCCAAACUCCUACGGGAGGCAGCAGUGGGGAAUAUUGCACAAUGGGCGCAAGCCUGAUGCAGCCGACGCCGCGUGAGCGAAGAAGUAUUUCGGUAUGUAAAGCUCUAUCAGCAGGGAAGAUAAUGACGGUACCUGACUAAGAAGCACCGGCUAAAUACGUGCCAGCAGCGGC